CCGCUGGCCACGCCCCCGGCCCGGCCCCGCCUCCGUGCUAGCCGGAGGGCGGGGACUCGGCGCCCACCCGCUGCCGGCGCAGAGUCGCGCAGGGGCGUGAAGUGACUUUCCCAACUCUAACCGCCCCGGGCGGCGGCGACCGGUUCUGGGGACCCUCGGCUGGGGCAGGCCGGUCGGGACCGCCGCGCCUACCGCGGCGAGUCGACUGCUACCGCGAGGCUUGGCGCUGGAAGACUUGGCCGCACUGCGAAGCGUGCGGAAAAUGAAAACCACGCUCACCGACAGGCACCGUAGCCCGGUUUUACACAGGAAGAAGCCGGCGAGGGGACCUUUGGGGCGUGGCCCUCGGUGGCUCAGCCGGCCGCAGAGGGCCCAGAACAGCCCUGACUUUCGGGUUCUCCCCGUAGCAGGUGCCGUCCGGAACCACUGCGGGUUCUGAACUCCGGGAGCUUCACAGCUGGGCCCGCACGACUACCGGUGUGCCCGGCUCCGGACCCUGCCGUUACGACUCCCUGUGUGGGAAUGUUCAUACCUACACCUCUCUACGUUGAAAGAAAAGACGAUCUGGUUUGCUGUGCGAGUCGGGAAAACCGGGAGCAUGAUUUGCUUUGAGAAGAUUGGACCCCAGAAGAAGAUUGGACAAGCUUUUAGAAAGCCUGCAACCUCACAGUCUCGGCCUUGAGAAUAUCUGGGGCUCCCACAAACCUAAAGUUGGGUUUGUUUUUGUUUGUUUGUUUGUUUGUUUUGCUUUGUUUUGUUUAAUCUGGUGAAGGAGCCACGUGACAGAUGGCAAGCAAGGGGAGAGGGGAAGACAGAUGUGGCAAUCCUUCGGGCAAGAAAGCAAAGGUCAGGAAAUGAUUAAACCGGCUGGGCCGGAUAGUGGUUAGUUAGCUCAGGGUACCUCCCUGGAGUACACGCCUCUAGCACCCCUUAAGCCACUUCGUUCUCCCCUUAACUCCACCCUACAGCCUCCUACCUGCUGUUGUCCAGCUACUUAGGGUAUCUCUGCCCACGGUGGUAUUUCAGACUCGUCAGUCAAGGCUCCUCAGCUAGUGUAUGACUGCUGUUAAAACAAGGCUUGGAAGGGGAGGAGGACCUGCCCUAUCAGUGGACUGGGAGACAGGCAUGGGAGGAGAUGAGAGAAGGGGAGUGGGACUGCGAGGGAAUGAGGAAAGGGGCUACAGCUGGGAUACAAAGUGAAUAAACUGUAAUUAAUAUUAAAAAACAAUUAAAAUUUAAAAAAAAACAAGGCUUGGACCGGUUUUGACAGCAGGGAGCUGUGGAAAGUGAGCUGCCUAAAGUGUAUUCAUAUUGACUCUGUCGGCUACUUGAUGGUGAACCUGAACUAGUUCCCUCAAGCCUUUUCCUCACCAAGAAAAACAAUACUUAUCUCUGCAAAUUCCUACCCUGUAGUAAUUAACAGAUAAAGUUUGUUUCUCUUCUAAAAUAAAAUAAAAUAAAUACAGUA